rnacentral:lncRNA from 1 species
CAUGCUGGUAUAAUAUUUUUUUAAAUACCUUCCGUUUAGACUUUUAUGCAACCUCUCUCCCGACUUUCGGUGUCAAGCAGACGACGACUCAAAUAAGCAACCACAUACUCUUUCCCAUCACCGCGCUCUAAGCAUUGGAGUACUCAACAAAUACCGCUUAAUAUUAUCAAAAGCCUCCCGCUGUUCUACCCCAAAUAAACCCGGCUUCAUGUUUUAACCGAAUUAAAGUAAAAAAAUGAUUCAAUCCUUCCUGCAAGGUUAGAUAUGAAUUGUCUCAAUUAAUUAAUUUUUCCUAACAACUUCUGUACAUCUCUUUUGCAGGUUGACUUUUCCAAAUUUCUAAUAGCAUCUAACUUUUAAGGAUUAAUUUCUAUAUCAUAUUCAUGAA